GUACCAGUAUUCAUCCUUAUAUGCUUCAUCACCUUGUUCCUAUCCACUGGACUCCCACCUCUCCCUUGCUAUCUGCUUCAAGUUGAAACUGCCAUGGCCUUGGCAAACCCCACCAACGGCACCUUGCUUUUCUUCUGCUUCCUUUUCUCCUCCAUCGUAAUGUGCGCUCUCUGCCGACCAGAUCCUGGAGGAGUAUUUUCUCACUCGAGUUUUCCACCGCUAAAGAGGGGCAGUCAAUCACCGAGCAUAACAAACGAAGAAGGAUCCUGGAGAUGGAGGGAUGCAAGCGGAAGGAGGCUGCUGAUAGGCUCCACGGCUCCAAUUUGCACUUACAACGAGUGCAGAGGUUGUCGAUUCAAGUGCAGCGCUGAGCAGGUUCCGGUGGACGCCAGCGACCCCAUGAACAGCGCCUACCAUUACAGAUGCGUGUGCCACAGGUGAUGCAGCUACCCAAAGUUCAGACGAGUUUUGGAUGGUCAACUCAAACGAGACUGUAGUUGGCUUUUCUUGUCCAUGUACUUGUUCAUCAGGAUCGAGGAUCUCCAUCUCCAGAGUGUUCUUCUUCACUUUGCUGCUCCAUGAUUUUUCGUGUUCUCAUAUUCCAUGGUGUUGAUAGUAUGGUAAUUGAUAGCAGCAUUUGGUCUUA